CGUGAUGCGCGGCUACCAUGCAGUCGAGCGAACCUUCGGGUUAGCGGCGGACGGGUGAGUAACGCGUGGGAACGUACCCUCUUCUGCGGGAUAGCCACUGGAAACGGUGAGUAAUACCGCAUACGCCCUUCGGGGGAAAGAUUUAUCGGAGGAGGAUCGGCCCGCGUUGGAUUAGGUAGUUGGUGGGGUAAUGGCCUACCAAGCCUACGAUCCAUAGCUGGUUUUAGAGGAUGAUCAGCCACACUGGGACUGAGACACGGCCCAGACUCCUACGGGAGGCAGCAGUGGGGAAUCUUAGACAAUGGGCGCAAGCCUGAUCUAGCCAUGCCGCGUGAGUGACGAAGGCCUUAGGGUCGUAAAGCUCUUUCGCCAGAGAUGAUAAUGACAGUAUCUGGUAAAGAAACCCCGGCUAACUCCGUGCCAGCAGCCGCGGUAAUACGGAGGGGGUUAGCGUUGUUCGGAAUUACUGGGCGUAAAGCGCACGUAGGCGGAUUGGAAAGUUGGGGGUGAAAUCCCAGGGCUCAACCCUGGAACUGCCUCCAAAACUCCCAGUCUGGAGUUCGAGAGAGGUGAGUGGAAUUCCGAGUGUAGAGGUGAAAUUCGUAGAUAUUCGGAGGAACACCAGUGGCGAAGGCGGCUCACUGGCUCGAUACUGACGCU
rnacentral:rRNA from 1 species